AGCGAACGCUGGCGGCAGGCUUAACACAUGCAAGUCGAGCGGGCACUUUCGGGUGUCCGCGGCGGACGGGUGAGUAACGCGUGGGAACGUGCCCUCUGGUUCGGAAUAACUCAGGGAAACUUGAGCUAAUACCGGAUACGCCCUUUUGGGGAAAGGCUUGCUGCCGGAGGAUCGGCCCGCGUCUGAUUAGCUAGUUGGUGAGGUAACGGCUCACCAAGGCGACGAUCAGUAGCUGGUCUGAGAGGAUGAUCAGCCACACUGGGACUGAGACACGGCCCAGACUCCUACGGGAGGCAGCAGUGGGGAAUAUUGGACAAUGGGCGCAAGCCUGAUCCAGCCAUGCCGCGUGAGUGAUGAAGGCCUUAGGGUUGUAAAGCUCCUUUAUCCGGGACGAUAAUGACGGUACCGGAGGAAUAAGCCCCGGCUAACUUCGUG
rnacentral:rRNA from 1 species